rnacentral:rRNA from 1 species
UACGUAGGCAGCGAGCGUUGUUCGGAAUUACUGGGCGUAAAGAGCGUGUAGGCGGCUUGCUAAGUCUUGCGUGAAAUCUCGGGGCUCAACCCCGAGCGGUCGUGGGAAACUGGCAGGCUAGAGUGCGGGAGAGGAGAAUGGAAUUCCUGGUGUAGCGGUGAAAUGCGCAGAUAUCAGGAAGAACACCCGUGGCGAAGGCGGCUCUCUGGGACGGUACUGACGCUGAGACGCGAAAGCGUGGGGAGCGAACAGG